ensembl:lncRNA
UAGCUCUUCAUUAUCUAAUAUUGUAAAUGUCCUAGUUUCAUCAACUAUUAUUGCUGCAUAACUGGAACUUUUAUUUAAUAACCAUAACACGCUACUUUUGUAAAAAAAUGUAAAAGUAUAACGCCACGAGGGUGUAUUUUUAGAAGUAAAACCUCUACCUUUUUAACGCUGAAUAAUCAAAACUCCAGUGAUUCGAUUCCAUUCCACCGACCGAGUUUGAAAGAUUCGACUCGGUGAAUCGAACUGUUCUACGCAUGCGCAGUAUCACGAAAGCAGGACUUCGUGUCUGAGACUCGAUUGCUCAAGUCUCAAUUCUGCCGAGCUUUUUUCGAUACCGGCAUCUUUUUUUUCUUCUUCCUCACUCUCCUGUUUAUCUCGCUUUUAUUUCUCUUCCUGAGAUCUCGGAAAGAAAUCACGGCACAAUGACCGGAGAUCACGGACACCACCAGGUGGAGUCUGGCUCUCGACUAAAUGGUAAGUGCGAAAUGAAACAAGAAGUCCAUUUUAGACGCGUUUUAAUGCUUAUUUUUGUCCGUUUUUCUUUGACCAAGGCGGUGAGACUGUUAGUUUUUCGAGAAGCGAAAUGGCGUCCCAGAGACUAAGUCCCCUCACCCUCACUCACAGCCGCCUAUUGUUCAAAACGAGGGCUCAAAAACACACUUUAAAAGCGAUUAUUUCUCAAUUAAGAUCGCUAUUUUGAUAGACCCGUAGAUUAUUUUUACAAUCCUGACUGUUGAUUUGUCCAUUUAUCACUCUAACCGGCCUUAAUUUAGUGUUAAAAGUCGCAAAUGGGGGGUUGAGGACUUAGUCUCUGCGCCAUUUUCUUUUCCUUUCCAUGAGCCGUGUCUCAAACCGCGUGCUCCUCUGCUAAGUAGUGCGCUCCAUACGUAUCCCACUAGCUAGUCAGCUAAGCUUCCGGGUUGCUUUUUCUAAUAAAAAAUGCUUCCAUGGGAAAACCCGAGACAACGCCUAAAAUCUUAGCCGUCUGUUUUAACAGUAUGUGAAAUAUUACAACACAAUAAGCCUGACUUGGUUAGUGUAGGUGGCGUGCUAUUUAGUGGAGUAGUGUGCGAUUUGGGACGGAGCCUCUCACUGCUUGCUGUGUUAUGGAGGCGCUGCAGGGGGAAAUGGCUUGCUUUUUAAAUGUCUGUCUUUAUAAACCCUUUCAGUUUAUAUAACUCUGUUUAGAAGCUAUUUAGCUUUACUUAUUUGUUCGUACACAUGAAUAGAGGUGAACAGGAAAAGAUAAUACAGAAUAUACAACCUUAGUGAGGAUGUUGUUUUAUUCAGUGCCUCAUUGUGUGUAUAUUAUAUUUUAAAAAAAAAAAUACAGUUUAUAAAGUACCGUUUGUGUGAAGUUUCACUUAAUAGACUGAGAGUUUGGUGUUUUUAAAACGCACUCUGAUUCAUGUUUACAACGCAUACACCGCUGGAGAGAGAGCUGUACUUCUGCAAAAUCUUCGAAUUUGGUCGAAGGUUUUGUGUGAAGAUUUUCCUUAGAUUUAGCUGAUCAUUUUAUCCAAAUAAAGUCCCACAUAUAGACUAAAAUCAUACUACAAUAAAAAGGAUAAUGUUAUGGUUAGUUUUUAUCAACUUUUCUUCGGACGAUAACGAUCCCCUCAGGCGCAUUUCAUCGAGCUUUACGUCUGGAAAUUCGCUUUUAUUGCGAAUGUGAAAUUCUGUAUAUGCGCUCACUUCAUAGGGCGGAGCAUCAUAACGUUAUAGACCCUAGAGUGCACUAUACGACUGCUAAAAUGACAUUUGACCUUGAAUAAUAACACGCCGUCAUCGUCUCGGACGUGCUUUUCUCUUCCUUUACGGUUUUUGAAAUCUCGUGUCAUCUUAUAACCUUAAAAACAAAGAUCACGUCUUAAACGUUCCUUUAGGAGAACGUAAACGUUCUGGAUAUUUGAUUAGUACACAAAAGGUGUCCUUUUAUCCUUAAUCGAGAUCUAUUAAACUUUGCGGGGUUUUUUUUUCUUUUCUUUUUAACAACGUUAACGUUUAACUCGCGUUACGGAUCAGAACCGACUCGGUUUGCAGGUUUUUGAAGCCGAACUUGCGUCUGGGUUCGCAGGAAGGAGACGAAGACUCCAGGGUGUACGUCCACGACACGAGUCACGGUUUCCACGACGAGUGACUGUGUAUACGAAACGAUUUUCUCAAUCCUAUCCAAAUGCGGUAUGACGGCGUAAAGCGGCGACGGAUCGGGGCGGUUAAUUUCUUCAGUUCGCCGCUAAAAAGACGUGUUAAACGUGUAGACGUGACAAAGGAACACGAAGCUUGGAAGGCAGUAGCCGAGACCGUCGGUCCCUCCAGCGAGUGUGCAGCCGGGGAAAGAAGUAUUUAACGUAUCGACACUUUAAUUUUUCAGUAAAGUAAAUUUCCAAUGAGGUUCUUCACGUGAGAUUUUCACCAGACUUUGGUAAUCACUCAAGAAAUCCAGAAGUAUAAAGAAUCCACAACAUUACAGUCCAUAAGGAAAGUUGUGUGUGAUGAAGUGGAAUGACACGGGGGAGGGGGGAGUAUUGAACACGCUAAGAAAAAGCAGUUCUCCGAGGAACGGUAAGGCGAGGAACCAGCCGAAAUCCGUAAGUAAUUACACCCCCUAUCUGUGCAAAUUAAUAUCAGCGGGGUUAGUAAAUCGAUUUUCUAUAACGAGGCUUUUCGUUACCAAGGUGUGACACAAACAUCUCAUGAUGGAUAAAAGCAAAGAGCUCUCCAAGACCUUCACGGCCCUUAUUGUCGUGAGACACACCGGUGGAAUACGUCUGUGUACUUUUUUUGACGUUUCUUUCCAUGAAGAUUACAGAAACUUGACCGGACGAGGUUCCCGUUUAAGCUGUGACGUUUUGGAAUCGGAUAAAGUAUUGGCACCUUUGCCUGAGCAGUCCAGGCUACUACUGUUAAAACGUGAUCGCCUCGUCUCGUACCCUAUGCCGGAUCGACGGGAGGGAUUGCACAGUUGGGAAUAAUUUUGGGUUUGGAUUUGUUAAUAAGCGUGCUGAGGUGGAGAAGAUGCGUUACAUUUGCUGCAAGUGCGAAAGAUUGGUAAGUUUGUGCUUCUGACGGAAACGUGAACACGAUUCGUACGCUCGUUAAGUGGGGUAGAGUUGCUAGGCAACUUAAUUUUUUUUAAAUAAAAAAAACAAACAUAUAUAUUGGAGGCUUACGAUGUAGCUAGCAAGGGCACUGCUUUUUGCUUCUUUAAUACGCACGUCGUGAAGGUGUGGCGGCGUCGCAAGCGAGAAACUCGUCAGGAACAUCGACAUGGAUCUCAUGACUAAAAAGUAAACUUCACUUAACCACGCUCGGCGUUCAGUCUUUCACGCCGUCACAUCACACGUGUGGAUUAUGCUUAUUACGUCGUUGUUCUUAACGUGAUCCGUGCCUUAAUUGAGGGAUAAAACGCUGCGUGUUGCGCUGAUAUUGGAAAAUAAUCAACUCGAGGGUGGUGUGCUGCAGCAGAGUCACGGUUACCACCUGACGGUGAUUUCAUUUUCCCGUAACAGCGGUCCUGGGGUGUUUUAUUCCUCUUAAACCACGGUGAUUUACCAACAGUCGCAGUGUUUACGUGUUCACGAAUGACUGAUCGUGCGUUAUCCGUUCAUAGUCGCGUUCGAUGUUUAAUUAAUCGCCGACUCUGCAUCGACCGCUAAACAGACUUCCGCCGAUUGUGCCAUGCCGAAACAAGUAGAGAAAAGAUUCUGCAAUCGGCCGUCGUAAAUCCAAGUACACGACGCGUAACGAUGACGGGGCGUUUUAUCGGGUUUGUCAGGACUCUGUUCGUCCUUUACUCCUGUAGCGGGGGUCAUUUUAGCAGUCUCUCACCUCUAGGUACGUUCCCAGCGCGCUGUGGAUGCAGACGUUCUCUUCCAGAUGUAGCGACUGCAACGCUAGGACAGAAUUUAGAAAACGUAAUUAUAGCUUUGUUUGCGUUUCGGAUCGAGUCUUUUAUCUGUCCUCACUUCCGUGUGUGUGUGUUUAGUGGAACAGCAGCGUCCCGCGCUCUCAUGGUUCAGAGUGAUAAGAUGAAGAUACAGUAAAGUGCUGUUACAUGUCCAGACGUUGGGUUCCUCCCUCUUUCAGACAUUAGAGGAACAUUUCUAUCGUAUAAAUAUCCUUUCUGAACCUUCAUCGUCGUCAUGGUUGGUUGCGCUUUGUGAAAUUAAAACGUUUGCCAUGACGGCCUCGUUACGUGUGGCGUCCGACACGUUGGAGCGACAUCGUGCUCGCGUCAUCGCUGCAGUAAAGGGCUCUCUUGUCUGUAGACAAAAUCUAACAUUUAAGUAUGGAAUCAAACACAACCGUGCGUGCUGUUUAUAGAACGCACGAUUACUGGUGCCACCGUAGCGAUGAUUAUUUUCCCAUAACAAAGCGUGAACUCCUCUGUCCGGGACAUGUCGUAAACCCUAAAGUCGCAGCUCUACUUCCGACUGUUAUGAAGCGCCGACACUGGCGACUCCUUCCAAAAUGUAACACAAAACUCUGCCAUGUUAAUAGUCUACGCACAUCUCUUUUUAAAAAUGCGUUUAUCCGCUGUACGAGUCCCGCCGAGCGAUCCGUUACUAUAGAAACGAGCGCUCUAAUAUAAAUCCUUUUUGUAGCCGCACUGCUCUCGGAGCUGCCGGUAUAGAAUAUGAAUCGACCAAUCAGAAUCCGACAGCGCUGUGGUGGAAUGGACGCGAUUUUGCUUAUAAUGGACAUUGAGAGAUUGUAUGAGGUUACAAAUAUGUAAAUAUGGCGCUGAGGGAUUGGAUUUCCAGGUUAGCGCCGACGUUAGCGCACACACGCUGGUGUAUGUGGUGUCGAGGCCUGCAUGUUUAGUCAUAAUCGUCGUCUUUAUCUCGUGGGUCAGGACUGAACAUGUGAAAAUUCAUUAUGAAGUCUUGCGAGGAGGUAACUUGGAAACAACAUUCGGUGAGCGCUCUCGCUAAAAACUGUCGCUGAAGAUGAUUGCGGAUUUUUUUGUUUGUUUGUUUGUUUAUUAAAAAAAAAUUAUUUUAUUUUAAAGAAGUGCUUUUUGUUUGUUUUUGUUUUUAAUUUUAAAAGAAAGUCGCCAGACGUUUUAACCCUAUCCGUGUCUGAAUUUGAACCCUUUCAGACAUGAGCAGCUGGAAUGAAAUUUUCCAGACAUUCCAUAUCCAUGUGUUGGUCACUCAAGCGCACACAAGAAAAGCAAGGCCACUGAUUGGGUUAGUAGAGAGCUCGGGGUUACCAAUCAGAGUCGAGCGUUGCCAUGCGGUGUCGCAUGGGGGAAGUUCUGACUAGCAAAAUAGCCAAGGAACUUUCGAGCCUUUUUAUAUCGUUUCAUUAUUUACAAAAAUCGAAAUAAAAGGCAGUUAUAAGUAUUGUAUAUUUAACUCAACAUAUAUAUUUUUGUUCUUGAAAUCAAAUGGACCUGAAGUAUUUAUGUAAUAUAAGCCAAUUAAUUUCUCUUUACUGCUUAUUUCUACUUAUAUAACUACUGUACUAUUGUAUUUAUAUGACUCUUAUUAUAGUUUUAGUAAUAAGAGUAAUAAAAAGCUAUUCCUGUAGUGCAUAUUGUACAUUAUUCUAACUAUUAAUCCUUAUGUUGCUAUAGUACUUAUGGCGUAUUAUUAGUGUUACCCAGUUGACUUUUAUAUACUUGUAGUUUACUUCUUACAUUACACGUACAGUGGGGGAAAUAAGUAUUGAACGUGUUAACUUCUCUUUUUUUUUAAAAUAAAUAAAUAUAUUGCCAGUGAGACUAUUCACACGAAAUGUUCACCAGACAUCAGUAUUAACUCAAGUAAUAUGCAAAUAUCAAUAAUUCACAACAUUUUAAAGUCCGUAAAUAAAGUUGUGGAAUGACACGGAGGGGGAAAAAAAGUAUAAGAAAAAGCAGUCCUCCAAGGUAAGGAUCCGUAAGUGGUUAGAAAGUAAUUAUACCCCCUAUCUGUGCACGUUAUCAUCAGCUGGGUUAAUAAAUCGAUGGUCUAUAAAAAGGCUUUUCGUUACCAAGGUGUCACACAAACAUCUCAUGAUGGGUAAAAGCAAGGAGCUCUCCCGAGAUCUUCACAACCUUAUUGUUGCCAAUCAUAUCGAUGGAAUCGGAUACAGACGUAUUUCAAAACUUCUGAAUCCUCCGGUAAGCACCAUCGGGGCUGUUAUCCACAAGUGGAAGCAACAUCACUCCGUCAUCAACCGGCCACGCACAGGAGCUCCUCGCAAAGAGUUCUGACCAGGGAGUCAGAAGAGUCGCCCAAGAGCCAAGGACCACUCGGAAAGAGCUCCAGAAACACGUGGAGGCAGCAGGUGUCAUCGUCACAGAGAAAACAAUACGCGAUGCACUCCACUGCUCACGCUCACCCGCAAGACUCCAUCACUAAAGAAAAGGCAUGUCGAAGCUCGUUUAAAGUUUACUACAACUCGUUUGGACAAGCCAGUGAAAUACUGGGAGAGUGUAGCCUGGUCAGACGAGAGCAAAACUGAACUUUUUGGCGGUCAUACUACACACCACGUUUGGAGAAGAAAUGUCACUGCACAUCACCCUAAAAACACUACACCAACAGUGAAGUGUGGAGGUGGAGCAUCAUGGUGUGGGGCUGUUCUUCAUCACAUGGUACUGGCAGACUUCAUAUCACUGAAGGAACGAUGAAUGGAGAUCUUUACCGGGAGAUUCUCGAGAAGAAUCUGCUGCCAUCCACCAGGACGAUGAAGAUGAGACAUGGGUGAAGCUUCCAGCAGGACAACGAUCCAAAACAUACAACAAAGGAAACUCGAUUGGUUUUAGAGAAAAAAAAUCAAGGUGUUAGAACGGCCGAGUCACUCACCUGACUGAAUCCAUCUGAACAAGAUUUAAAGACGAUAUGUUUAGAAGAACGGGCCGAAAUCACACCUGAAUACUGCGAACGUUAAUUUCUUCACACAGGAAGAGUCUUGAUUCAUUACAAGACAAGACUUCUCCACGAAGUAUUAAAUACACUUCAGUUAGUGUGUUCAGUACUUUAUUUUUAUUUUUUUAUUUAUAUCCCCCCCCCCCCAGAACUUUAUUUAUGGACUUUGAUAUCCAAUACUUAUUCCCCCCACUGUACUAUUGUUAUUUGUACUAGUAUUACUACAUAUUGUUUAUUACUACUUAUGUAGUCUAUGUAGUAGUUUACUACUUGUAUUAGUUAAUAAUUCCAUUUCCUCUGUUAUUACUUAUGUUACCACAAUACUUAUUGUAUGUUACUACUUCUGUCACUUCUCUUAGUCAGGGUCUUACUUAUCGUAUCCUAUUACUAAUUAUAUUGCUACUGCUACCAACUUCUCUUUAAUCUUUGUUUUUUAAUUCUUUACUCAUCAUACUAUAGUAUAGUUAUAGUAUUAUAUUACUCGUACUACACAUUAGUUACUUUUCGACGACUUAUUAUUAUUCCUAGUUUCAUGGUAGUGAUUACUGCUAACUCGGUCACUGUUACUACUUUGUACGUCUGUCAUUGAAUUAUACGACUUAUAUUAGUUACUACUUUUAUUCCUACCAUCAUUACUAGUCACGUUAUAGUAAUUAUUACUACUUACUGUUUAGUACCAUAUUAUAGUGCUAUAGUCAGUAGUUUAAUAUUGUACUGUACUCAUCAGUUAUUCAUUUUAUUCCUUCUGUUUAGGGAUGUGACACUGGCAGUUUUUUUUACCAUUGGUAAAGUUAUCUUACUGUGUUAUGUAAUAUAACGACUUGUAAUCGAAUAGACUUAAAUGACAUAAAAACCUCAAUAUAAAAAAAUUAAACGAGGAUUUAUUCUAGCGCUUCUGUCAGUAAAAUAACCAAAUACAGCCUUGUCGUGUCGUGUCAAUGAGAAGCGGCCUGAGGGCGCUGUGGGAAUACGGUAUUGUGAUCGACUUGGCGAGAAGAAGUGGAACGAGGAAGGGGACACAGGUCGCACUUUUCUCUCGUUAAGCACGAAUCCAAAAUGUUCCCAGGGUCCUGACGUAACCUUUGGCUUCCCAUCACGAUCCAUCGCGGCGGCAGAACCCGAAGUGAAAUCAAGAUCCACCUGACUGGAUCUUGUCGUGCUCAGACGAACCCACACGAAACUCAUGGACGACACCAUAUAAGGCGUUUGAUUGAUUGUUUACAUCAUUUGUGUGUUGAUAUAAAGUCUCCCGCUAUAUUCGAUUCAAAUUAAUAUUGCAACCGUUGUUUACACUUGUGUAUAUAAAACUUUGUACUUGUUAUAGUGCCCCACUCCAGCAGGAACAUUAACGUGGCGUAUGAUGCGCCACCACCGCGGUGGCAAACUACCACCUCGGUGGUGCGGUUGUCAUGGCCACCGUCACAACCCUACUUCUAUUACUUAUCAUGAUUUACUAUUGGUCCGAGUAAUAAAUAAUACUGCUAUUGAUUUGAUCUUAUAUGUACUGAUUCUUACUUUUAUUCCUACUACCACUUGUACUGUAGCACUUCACCUGGAUUACUGCUUAUUUAUUACUAGUGUAUUACUCAUUAGUAUUACUUAUACUAUUACUCAUACUACUUCUAUUCGCUUCUACUUUCAUUCCUACUAUUAUUGCUGGUCAUGCUAUGUUUAGUGCUGUAACUGACGAUUGUUUUCGUAAUCGAUUAGUCGGCCAAUUCUUUUUUUCGCUUAAUCGGAUGGGGCGGGGCAAACGUUACGUACGUUUGUUUGUUUGUUCAAAAUAAAAUCGACAAACUGAGUGUUACAAAUACAAACUUCAGACUGAAACGUUGCACAACUGUUUGUUCAGAACAGAAAAGAACCCAAUACACACACACACACACACACACACACACAACAGAAUAUAUAUUAUUAAUUUAGGACCGUUUAAUUCGGUGGUUUUGGUGCAUCCAUAAAAAUAAUGCGUAAAUACUUACAUACAUAUACACAGCCUUGUUACUACCUAGGCCUUAGAGGCCGUUCUCCUCCGUCUGGUCUGACUGAGGUCAUGCGAAUACAAUGUAACGCUGACGCAAACAAUAAAUUGAAGAAAGUCGUCGUCUGUGACUCUGGGGUAUUAGGCUAAAGCUACCACCCAGCCUUAUCUUAUAUAUAUUAUAAGCAUUAAUACUUAUUGUGUCUUGCUAAUAUUUCUACUUCUUUAUUAGUGCGUUCUACUAUCCAUUAAGUAAUUAUUACUAGUUACUCUGUUAAUACUUUGACAUCUAUAUUGUAUUUUAUUUACUUUACAGCUACUGCUUUUACUGUUAUCAAUCGACCUACUGAAGUACUAAUUUACUGUUGUGCGUUACUGCCGAUAGUUACUUUUACUUCUCUUACUGUCUAUAUUACUGAUAUUUACUCAAGUCAUCGUACAUCGCCGUUACCGCUCUUGCUUUUAUUCGGACGUCGUGUCAUAUUAAAUAUAAAAGUAAUUGUUACUAGUUUGUGUGUGUAUAAAAACACUGUAGCAAUUCCUACUGCCGCUUGUUGUGCGAUUGCCAGGCUUAUUUAUUUAUUUAUUUAUUUAUUUAUUUAAUUCAAAAGUUAUUAGCAGGUUGUGUUGAAGAUUGAUCUCCACAUAUAUGUGACUUGUUAACAAGUUCAUCUUUUAUCAAUUUAUCGUUCAUCUUUCGCUUUUUGUUCUCUUCUUCUUCUCCUUUCACUCCUCCCCCCCCUCCCAGAUUCCCACAAACAUAAAGACAAGCAUAAAGACAAAGAGCACAGGCACAAAGACCACAAGAAAGACAAAGAGCGUGAAAAGUCCAAGUACACUAACAGGUAAAGGUGCACUUCUACUUGUUCACUCGUUCGUUCUUUCGUUCUUUUUGUUUCUUCUUCACACUAUGAAUGCUGGGAAACGACUGGAUUUUAUAUCGUCUUGAAUAAAUCUUAAGCAUAUUAACUGUUUAUAUAUAAAAAAAAAAAAAAGUAAAGCGGUCUCAACCCGUUGGGAUUUAUUUUACAGUAAACUAUCGUGUUCGGUAACGUUUACCGCGGAGUUUGUUUUUAAUGAGAGGUUCUGACCUCUCCACGCAAAAGGAACGCACUUUUUUAAUUUUUUUUUUAAUUAAGGUAGUUGUCGUGAUUUCCACACCUGUGAGCAGCUUGGAAGCACCCUUGGGGGUGUCGAACCCCACUUUAAGCCCAUGGCUCUAGAACGCAACAGAAGAUCUUGAAUGUAAUGAUUUCAGAGGGGUUUCAGUGGUUUCAGUGGUCUCGCACGUUCUGCUCGUUCUUCUCUUUCUGGAAGUUUAAUGAGCUAAACAUUUAAAUACGGGCGGUUGUGUUCUUCAACAUUUUCCCACCAGGAGUUCUAUAGUGUUCUACUCUCCUGUGAUGCGCAAGUAGGAAACCCAGUUAUAUAACCAUGUAUGGUAUAAUUAUACACCCCUCUCUCUCGUUCUCCCUCUUUCUUUCUUUCUUUCUUUCUUUCUUCAAUUCUUUCCCUCUCUUUUCUUCUUUCUUUCUGUUUAAUUCUUUCUCUCUCUCUCCUUCUUCUUUCUUUCUAUUUAAUUCUUUCCCUCUCUUUUUCUUCU